rnacentral:rRNA from 1 species
AUUGAACGCUGGCGGCAGGCCUUACACAUGCAAGUCGAACGGCAGCGCGGUCUUCGGUCUGGCGUCGAGUGGCGAACGGGUGAGUAAUUCAUCGGAACGUGCCCAUCAGCGGUGGAUAGCGGGGCGAAAGCCGGAUUAAUACCCCAUACGACCUGAGGGUGAAAGCGGGGGACCGAAGGGCCUUCCGCCAUUGCAGCGUCCGAUGUCGGAUUAGCUAGUUGGUGGGGUAAAGGCUUACCAAGGCGACGAUCCGUAGCUGGUCUGAGAGGAUGACCAGCCACACUGGGACUGAGACACGGCCCAGACUCCUACGGGAGGCAGCAGUGGGGAAUUUUGGACAAUGGGGGCAACCCUGAUCCAGCCAUGCCGCGUGCGGGAAGAAGGCCUUCGGGUUGUAAAGCGCUUUUGUUCGGGAAGAAAUGCUGUGGGCUAAUACCCCGGGGGGAUGACGGUACCGGAAGAAUAAGCACCGGCUAACUACGUG